GACGAACGCUGGCGGCGUGCUUAACACAUGCAAGUCGAACGGAAAGGCCCUGCUUUUGUGGGGUGCUCGAGUGGCGAACGGGUGAGUAACACGUGAGUAACCUGCCCUUGACUUUGGGAUAACUUCAGGAAACUGGGGCUAAUACCGGAUAGGAGCUCCUGCUGCAUGGUGGGGGUUGGAAAGUUUCGGCGGUUGGGGAUGGACUCGCGGCUUAUCAGCUUGUUGGUGGGGUAGUGGCUUACCAAGGCUUUGACGGGUAGCCGGCCUGAGAGGGGGACCGGCGACAUUGGGACUGAGAGACGGCCCAGACUCCUACGGGAGGCAGCAGUGGGGAAUAUUGCACAAUGGGCGGAAGCCUGAUGCAGCAACGUCGCGUGCGGGAUGACGGCCUUCGGGUUGUAAACCGCUUUCGCCUGUGACGAAGCGUGAGUGACGGUAAUGGGUAAAGAAGCACCGGCUAACUACGUG
rnacentral:rRNA from 1 species